rnacentral:rRNA from 1 species
UGGGGAAUUUUGGACAAUGGGCGAAAGCCUGAUCCAGCAAUGCCGCGUGUGUGAAGAAGGCCUUCGGGUUGUAAAGCACUUUUGUCCGGAAAGAAAUCCUUGGCUCUAAUACAGUCGGGGGAUGACGGUACCGGAAGAAUAAGCACCGGCUAACUACGUGCCAGCAGCCGCGGUAAUACGUAGGGUGCAAGCGUUAAUCGGAAUUACUGGGCGUAAAGCGUGCGCAGGCGGUUUGCUAAGACCGAUGUGAAAUCCCCGGGCUCAACCUGGGAACUGCAUUGGUGACUGGCAGGCUAGAGUAUGGCAGAGGGGGGUAGAAUUCCACGUGUAGCAGUGAAAUGCGUAGAGAUGUGGAGGAAUACCGAUGGCGAAGGCAGCCCCCUGGGCCAAUACUGACGCUCAUGUACGAAAGCGUGGGGAGCAAACAGGAUUAGAUACCCUGGUAGUCCACGCCCUAAACGAUGUCAACUAGUUGUUGGGAUUCAUUUUCCUUAGUAACGUAGCUAACGCGUGAAGUUGACCGCCUGGGGAGUACGGUCGCAAGAUUAAAACUU